rnacentral:rRNA from 1 species
UAAUGGCCCACCAAGGCGACGAUCGGUAGCUGGUCUGAGAGGACCACCAGCCACACUGGAACUGAGACACGGUCCAUACUCCUACGGGAGGCAGCAGUGGGGAAUAUUGGACGAUGGGGGCAACCCUGAUCCAGCCAUGCCGCGUGGGUGAAGAAGGCCUUCGGGUUGUAAAGCCCUUUUGUACGGGAAGAAAAGCUCCGGGUUAACAGCCGGUAGUCAUGACGGUACCGUAAGAAUAACCACCGGCUAACUUCGUGCCAGCAGCCGCGGUAAUACGAAUGGUGCAAGCGUUACUCGGAAUUACUGGUCGUAAAGCGUGCGUAGGCGGUGGUUUAAGUCUGAUGUGAAAUCCCCCGGCUCAACCUGGUGAAUGGCAUUGGCUACUGCAUCGCUAGAGUACGGUAGAGGGUGGUGGUAAUUUCCCGGUGUAGCAGAUGAAAUG